UCAAAAUUGAGGGGGUGUAAGUUGAAGGAAGAGUGUACGCGUUAGUAAAAGGCUAUGGGUCAUAGCUUGGUGGCACAAGAGUUAGACUCGGAAGGGGAAACAGUCACUUAUUCCACGCCAUUCAUCCAGAAUCACUCUUCACCUUAGGCUUAUCGGGAAUCGCUCUACCGCACCAGAAAUCACCUCUGGCGGCGGCGGAGCCCAGAACACCACCAACACACUCAUCUCAACAUCCUAUUUCCAUUCUUGCACCCUAAUUUCAAUGAAACUCAACCAAAACCCUUAUUCUAACUCAAGAACGUAAAACCCUAAAAAUUUCAAACAACAAUUAAAUAGCGAAGGUUCAUGAAUUCAGAGCAAGACCUUAGGGUAUGCUUCAACAACAACAGUUAUACGCUAUGGUAACAACAAUGGUGCAAGAAAAUGAAGAACAAUGCAUGUCGCGUUUACCUAUAUGGAAGAUAUUGGCCCUGGUGUUUAUAGGUAUUGAAGAAGAUAAUGAAGAAAACCAGAGAAUCAAAGUCACGUGUUCAGGUUGUGUGGUUGCAUUGUUAAUGUAUUUGUCAAGGUUCAAUGGUCAUUGUGUAUUUCUUGGGUGAACUCACAUUGUACUUGAAUGGUCGUGGACUGUUUUAAUAUGUGAAUUGUCAUGGCUUGGCUAAUGUAUGUCCAUGAUGCAUAUUGGUUUUUGGAUGGAAAUAUGAGUUACUUCAUGGUUGCUCUAUAUGGUUCAUGUAUGCAUUGAAGCUUGGUUAAGGUCAUGGAGUAUGCAUUAUGGUCAUAAAGCAUAUUUGGUUGUACUUGAAGGAAAUGAAGCAUUGAUCAUGAUUAUUGGUUAAAUGGAGGGUCGUGAUGAAGAUGAAAAAGGAUAUAUCUAGGGAAAAGUCUGACUUUGGUCAACUAUUUGACCAAAAAAGUCAACUAUAGGUCAAACUGAGGAUUUUUUCAUGUAAUUUCAAAUUUGAUUUUUGUAAUGUAUUUUGGACAUUUUGAAUAUGAAUUUUGGCUUUGUAUGGUUGAUGUUUAACCUUGUAACUUAUUCUUCAAGUAAUGAAAUUUUUCCAUCCAUUUUGUAAA